GGAGCUUUCUUGAAAGUCCUUUGGAGAAGUCACUGGCCGUUACAAUUGAGGUAGUCGUCGUUGGAAGCGACUCAGCAUAGACUUUUCGAUGGCUGAUGUAUU